GACGAACGCUGGCGGCGUGCUUAACACAUGCAAGUCGAGCGGAAAGGCCCUGCUCUUGUGGGGUGCUCGAUUGGCGAGCGCGUGAGUAACACGCGAGUAUCCUGCACCUGUCUUUGGGGUAACAUCAGGAGACUGGGGCUAAUAUCGGGUAGAAUCUCCUGCAGCGUGGUGUGGGUUGGAAAAAGUCGGCGGUUGUGGAUGGACUCGCGGGUUAUCAGCUUGUUGGUCGGGUAGUGGCUUACCACGGCUGUGACGGGUAGCCGGCGUGGGAGCGUGGCCGGCCACAUUGGGACUGAGAUACGGACCAGACUCCUACGGUACGCAGCAGUGGGGAGUAUUGCACAGUGGGCGGAAGCCAGAUGCAGCGACCCCGCGUGCGGGAUGACGGGUUUCGGGUUGUAAACAGAUUUCGCCUGUGACGAAGCGUGAGUGACGGUAAUGGGUAAAGAAGCAACGGCUAACUACGUG
rnacentral:rRNA from 1 species